UCAGUUUUGUUUUUCUACAUUUCCAUUGUCGAAACAGCUCACAGAAGAAGAAAAAUCCUAUAACCUAAUCUUCUCGACGACAACGGUAUAAAAAUUCAAUGUUCAAACAUAAAUAUGAGAACCUUUUCAAUUCGAUUCCACUUAAAUAACCUAAAUCGUCAUCAUCCGUACCUUUCCUUGAAGAUUAAUUUGAGUGGAAAAGUUUAUGAGAUGCAAAUUAAUUCGAAAAUUUCGUCAGUCAAAACGACGUGAAAGAUAAGUUCAGUCUAUUCUUGUUAUUUAAUUUGAUGAAAAUGUUAAUUUAUUAAUGUAGAAAUUGAUUUAAGAAAAGAAUUAUGGUUUCAAAAAACAAAUUACUUGGGUUUCAGUUAGAACUUCGGAUCCGAUUUAUCAUUAAAGGUUAGAUCUAUAAUCAGCUCAUUCUAAUUGUUGUUUUGGGAUAAAAUUUUGAUAAAUUUUGACAACAAUUUAACAAAAUUUAUUGGAACUCGUCUCCAAAAACUUGACCUAGCUGCCAAUCUUUGAUUAUGAUCUAAAUUGGACUUCAGAUUCGAGAUCGAUGCAUCUUAGUCUUUAUUACCCAUCAAACAAAUUUGAAUUUUAUUUACUUUCAAAUUUGAUGUCAUCUGAAUAUCUCUCUCUAUGGAAUGUCAUAGUGAAAUGGAUUUUUGAGCAAGUACCGAGUGAAAUGGAUUUGUGAGCAAGUACCGAGUGAAAUGGAUUUAUGAGUGGUUUUUAAUCUCCAUUUUGAUUGAAUACUAACAAAAAAAUUCUUCUUUGCAGGUGAACUUAUUGGUGCAAAAUAUUCAAGCUGAUGGGAGACAUGUACUUGACAACUGGUAUGUCUUUCGGGUUAUAUCUUUUACUUCUAGGAAAAGCAAGUGGUUCAUGCACUUGACUUUGGCUUGGUACUUUAGAGGUAUCCUAGCUGGUGUAUUAACUAAGCAAUCGUCAGUUGAUCAGCUAAACAUAUGUACCUUCUAUUGACGUUAAAAGUAGACAGUUUAAUGAAAAUAAUAACUUUUUCUAUUGAUCUACUUAUUAUCCACCAUGUUCCCUCAUUUCUGCGAGCUAUUAAGACCCACCUGGCGAGGUAAGAACUACUUGUUUUAUGUUCAUUGUUUGUAAAUCCUUAAUUUUGACUUUGUGUUUACAAAUGGUAAUUGUGUUAUGCAGAAAGAGGAACGGCAAGAAGACUCACAGACCAGCCGCCAAAAGCAUUGCCUUCAGCCAGGUUCAUGGUUAAGAUGUUGCAGGUAUUGGGGCGAUGGUGUUCAUAACUAUUAUAUUAGGUUAUUUUGCAGUUGUUCCACGCUACUCUUGUAGUGUAGAAGUUGAUGCCUUGGUUUUUUUUCUCUCAUUCUUUUGGAUGACAAUGUGAUUGCAUGUCAGUGCUUUUCACUGACCAUGCCACUCAUUCCCGAUUGCAUUUGCACACUGCCUUCAUGAGAAUGGUGAGAAGAAAUACCAUGAUUAAGAAGUAAUUUUAAUAUGCGUAUACCAUAUAUUACCUUGAUCAAAUGACAGGUUCCGAAUACAUGCAAAGACAUAGUAGAGGCAUUACAUCAUUGAGCUUCUAUAAGCCAUUCUUCUUGCUAGAUUCGCAGAGCAGCUACUUUUUUAUUUCUUUAUUUGGUGUUGUUGUCGCCAAAACCAAGUGUCAAACUGUUGUUAUUAACGUAUUGCUCAGUCCUUUGGUGGCAUGAUCUGUGCCCUUGUUUACUGCACUUCUGGUAUCUGGUAACUCUCAAGCUAGUUCAUUUGAUGUAUUCCCGUCUUUUCUUACGACGGAAAUUAGACGUGUACAUAUUUGUACACCUAUGAUAUAAAUGUACAUUGUUGUACACAUGUGAUAGAAAUUGAAUGUGUGCAUAAUAGUCAACACUAGCACUCUUAAUCAAAUUUUACUAAACAAUCUUUUUCCAUUUCUUAGAUGUCGAAUCAGUGAUGCUAUGAGCCACUGAUUGUUAUGACAGAAACCACAUGUGUACAUAUUAGUACGCUUACGAUAUAAGUGACAUUGUUGUACACAUGUGAUAGAAAUUACAUGUGUACAUAAUAGCGCACAUGUAAUACAAGUGUACAUUGUUGUGCACUUUUUAAUAUGGGUGUAUAUUGUUGUGCACAUGUGACAAAAAUCACAAGAUGGUGGACAUAUAUCGCAUAAGCUUAUGUAUGUGUUAGUUUCUAGUUAGUAUUAGGGUUUUAUGGAGGUAAAUACAUGUGUGUACUUUAGAAGUUUGUUAAAUGUGAAAUAUUUUGAACAAGAUAGAUUCAUUUGUGAGGUGUUUUGGACAAGACUAGUUAUUAAAGUUUUGUUGUUCUCUUCGACUAGUUACAGGAAAUUACUGCUAUUGAUGAUACAGAUUUUCCUCCAAGGUAUGUGAAUAACACAGGUCUUUCUGCAAGAGUUGGAAGGCUUAAUCUGGACGCAGUCGAUCUUGAUCAGUCAUCUGAAUGAGGCUUUUAUCGUGCAACGGCUCUUGCUGGUAGUAAAUUUUUAGAGAUAUGUUUCCUACAACUGAUGAUUUCUGCAUGCAUAAGGAUGAGCCUGAUUGGGAUAUACCAACGGGUCAAGUCGCUUCCGCCGGUGAUGCAAUUGAAGAUAUUCGUUAAGGCAAGACAGUUGCAUCCAUAGCUCGGAACUGGAUUUGAUCUGGCAUGAUCGAGCUGUCCAUGAUUUAAUUCAAAUUUUCUUUUGGGUAUAUCUUGCAGAUGGUCAUUAUUGUUGAUGACGACGAUAGAGAAAAUAAAGGAGAUCUAAUAAUGGCAGCAAAGUUGGAUUUUCUAGAUUUUUGUAAAUGUGUACAUGUUUGUACACCAGUAUAAAUUAAGAUUUUUAAAAAAUGAGAAUUAUAUAGUCGUAUGGGUACUCUUUUUGUAGCUUUCGGAAGAGCUUCCCGAAUAUAUAAAAUUUGCGAUUUUUGGAC